CGCUCCAGUUCAUAGGCUGGCUCCAGCUUUCCAUCAGCUAUGUGGCCACCACCCUUGGCAGAUAGAUGCUUUGUACUGCAGAUCCAAAUGCACCAACUGGUGAGGAGAAUGAGAAAGAAGACCAAGACCUGGUGAAUGCAAUGAAGAAGCUGGUGGCAAAGGCUCAGAUACCAUGACCUCAAGGGUUCCUCAUUAGAAAUCUCUGUAACACCUAUAGGCUCACCUAAAUGUGGAAGAUGCUCCUGGUGGAGAAGUGGAUUUUACCCAAGUGGUAGAAAUUUCACAAAAUGUCACUCCCUGGUCAAAUACAAUGCUGAUGUUUUCUGUGCUGGACAGAGCAGAAAAACAGAUAAAAAAGAAACACCUGAAGGAAAUCCAGAACUUCUCUUCUGUCAUGAAGCAAAUGGAGAACAUCCUCUGGAUGCCAUCCAUUUCAGAUGUGCCUCUGGAAGACAAAACAGAAGAUGAUCAUGAAUGCCUUGGCUGACCACAAAAAUGCAAGCCCUCUGGGGGUGGCAUUUCACACUGUCACAGAGCCCCAUCAC
rnacentral:lncRNA from 1 species